rnacentral:rRNA from 1 species
UGGGUGAGGAGAGUAUCCUAAGGCCAGCGAGAGAACUGUUGUUAAGGAACUCGGCAAAAUGACCCCGUAACUUAGGGAUAAGGGGUGCCACCAUCAGGUGGCUGCAGAGAAUAGGCCCAAGCGACUGUUUACCAAAAACAUAGGUUUCUGCUAAGUCGCAAGACGAUGUAUAGGAGCUGACGCCUGCCCGGUGCUGGAAGGUUAA